AAAAACCGGAGGGACAGCAAAACGGGGAAAACCCAGACUCACCCGGCUCUCUGUGUUGCUCUGUGAUCAUCCCCAUCGAGCAGACGGAGAAGCGGAGGCUUAAGUGACCUGCCAAAGAGAGGUUUUUGGGAACUGGUGGAGGCAGAGGCCAUGCUACCCCGGCUCCGCCCGGGAAGUGGCCCCACCUGGCUCAGCAGGUG